AUCCCAGUGCAGGGGUUUGACUUAUGUCAGUGAGGAUUUAUCCGAGACUAAGUUUUUGCUAGUUGAAAACUACAAACUCCGACCAGCUCGCGCCGGCUUUCGUGGUCGACGCGGAAUCUUUGGAAAUCCCAAUGGCU
rnacentral:snRNA from 1 species